ACCAGGUGCAGUGGCACGUGCCUGUAGUCCCAGCAGCUCGGGAGGCUGAGGCAGGAGGAUCACAAGUUCAGAGCCAGCCUCAGCAACUUAGUGAAGCUCUGAGCAACUCAGUGAGACCCUGUCUCUA
rnacentral:sRNA from 1 species